AUGCGAUAAGUAAUGUGAAUUGCAGAAUUCAGUGAAUCAUCGAAUCUUUGAACGCACCUUGCGCUCCUUGGUAUUCCUCGGAGCAUGCCUGUUUGAGUAUCAUGAAACUCUCAAAGUAAAUCUUUUGUUAAUUCAAUUGAUUUUGCUUUGGACUUGGAGGUUUUUUUUGCAGAUUUAUUUCUGCUCCUCUUAAAUUUAUUAGCUGGAUCUCAGUAUAUGCUCGGUUCCACUCGGCGUGAUAAGUAUCACUCGCUGAGGACACUUUGUAAAUAAAUAAAAAAGGUGGCCGGGAAAUGCAGAUGAACCGCUUCUAAUAGUCCAUUUGCUUGGACAAUUAAAGUUUUAAGAUCUGAUCUCAAAUCAGGUAGGACUACCCGCUGAACUUAA
rnacentral:misc_RNA from 1 species